GAUGAACGCUGGCGGCGUGCCUAAUACAUGCAAGUCGAGCGAACCACUUCGGUGGUGAGCGGCGAACGGGUGAGUAACACGUAGGUGAUCUGCCCAUCAGACGGGGACAACGAUUGGAAACGAUCGCUAAUACCGGAUAGGACGAAAGUUUAAAGGUGCUUCUGGCACCGCUGAUGGAUGAGCCUGCGGCGCAUUAGCUAGUUGGUAGGGUAAAGGCCGACCAAGGCGACGAUGCGUAGCCGACCUGAGAGGGUGAACGGCCACACUGGGACUGAGACACGGCCCAGACUCCUACGGGAGGCAGCAGUAGGGAAUCUUCGGCAAUGGGCGAAAGCCUGACCGAGCAACGCCGCGUGAAUGAUGAAGGCCUUCGGGUUGUAAAAUUCUGUUAUAAGGGAAGAACGACUUUAGUAGGAAAUGGCUAGAGUGUGACGGUACCUUAUGAGAAAGCCACGGCUAACUACGUGCCAGCCGCCGCUGUAA
rnacentral:rRNA from 1 species